rnacentral:misc_RNA from 1 species
CCGCACUCCUCGACACCCUCUCCCUCUUCACCGUUACAGUAACAGGUUUGUCUAGCAACACCGGAAACACGACGGCCGGGGUAGUUGUAUCUGCAGUGACAGCCUUCUUAGACAAAAGGGCCGUCUUCUUCGCCGCUGGCGUCGGUCGUGAAGUCAGCCAUGGGACAUCAAUUUUCUGAUAAGUGUAACGCAUCUUGCUGGUGUCGAGACAGUCGCUGAUCUUUACCUUCACCAGUUGCGCAUUCUCAUCGUAGAAGAGAAACGAUGCGUUGAGCCAAUCUGGGUCCGUGAAAUUGGUGUGCUUUCCUCCUAGGCCACGCCAGACGUCCCAGAUGCGGUCAAUGUUGGCGUGGUGGGCGAAGAAGAUC